GCUUUGGAACUCUACAGAGGAUAUUAGCAUUGCCCCUGAUCAAGGAUGACAUGCAAGUUCAUGAAGCAUUCCAUAUUUUU
rnacentral:snRNA from 1 species